AAGACGGUACAGGAAUCAGCUGAAAACGGCCUUUAAGCGCCUCCUAAGCGCUAGGCCACAAGUUCGAUUCUUGUCAGGCGCACCA
rnacentral:tRNA from 2 species